ensembl:rRNA 5S_rRNA 5S ribosomal RNA
CUCUAUGACCAUACCACUCUGAAUGCACUCAAUCUUGCCUGAUCUUGAAGCAAAGCAGGUUUGAGUCUGGUUAGUACUUGGAUGGGAAAAGGCUAGUAAGCAUCAUUUACA